rnacentral:rRNA from 1 species
GACGAACGCUGGCGGCGUGCUUAACACAUGCAAGUCGAACGGGUGUAGCAAUACAUCAGUGGCAGACGGGUGAGUAACACGUGGGAACCUUCCUCGUUGUACGGAACAACUCAGGGAAACUUGAGCUAAUACCGUAUACGUCCGAGAGGAGAAAGAUUUAUCGCAAUGAGACGGGCCCGCGUCGGAUUAGCUAGGUGGUAAGGUAACGGCUUACCAAGGCGACGAUCCGUAACUGAUCUGAGAGGAUGAUCAGCCACACUGGUACUGGGACACGGCCCAGACUCCUACGGGAGGCAGCAGUGGGGAAUCUUGGACAAUGGGCGCGAGCCUGAUCCAGCCAUGCCGCGUGAGUGAAGAAGGCCUUCGGGUUGUAAAGCUCUUUUGUCAGGGACGAUAAUGACGGUACCUGAAGAAUAAGCCCCGGCAAACUUCGUGCCAGCAGCCGCGGUAA